rfam:Cephalotus follicularis DNA, scaffold: scaffold3980, isolate: St1.
AUGGCAUGAUGGGGGCAUUUUCUAAUGAGAUCCUUUAUUCUCUCCCAUGACUCAUGGAACUACUCACCAUCUUGAUGUGAGAAGCUAGUGAGAGCUCGCCUGAUCUG